CAUUAUUGAAAAGCUUUGGAGUUACUGUUGCUGUUCCUUCAAACAAGGAUCGUGCACGUAUCUCUAAUACUAUUCAUCCACCUGUGCACUCUUUGUAGAAGUCCUUGACGAUUGACCUAUAAUGAGGUUUCAUUACCUUGUUAGUCGAUUCGAAAGGCUUCUAUGUCUCUACAAACCAUUAUGUAUGUUUUAGAAUGUUUUUUUUAUUGGGGCUUCAUUGACCCUUUAAAAUGUUAUACAACUUUCAGCAACGGAUCUCUUGGCUCUCCCAUCGAUGAAGAACGCAGCGAAAUGCGAUAAGUAAUGUGAAUUGCAGAAUUCAGUGAAUCAUCGAAUCUUUGAACGCACCUUGCGCCCUCUGGUAUUCCGGAGGGCAUGCCUGUUUGAGUGUCAUUAAAUUCUCAACUUCAAUAGUUUGUAAUGAACUCAUUGAAGCUUGGACGUGGAGGCUUGCUGGCGUCUCAGAUGUUCGGCUCCUCUUAAAUGCAUUAGUGGAUCCCGUUAGUUGGACUACAACUUUGGUGUGAUAAUUAUCUACACUUUAGUUCGUUCAACAGCUCUGUGAACACUUUUUCAGAGGCACUAGUGUUUCUGGUUUGGGUUUUGCAUCAGUAAUGAUGCUUUACCUGGUUCAUUAGAGUAGGGUUUAUCCGCUUUCAAACCGUCUGUGAAUGCGGACAAUACUUUGACUAUUUGACCUCAAAUCAGGUAGGACUACCCGCUGAACUUAAGCAUAU
rnacentral:rRNA from 1 species